rnacentral:rRNA from 1 species
GACGAACGCUGGCGGCGUGCCUAAUACAUGCAAGUAGAACGCUGAAGAGAGGAGCUUGCUCUUCUUGGAUGAGUUGCGAACGGGUGAGUAACGCGUAGGUAACCUGCCUUGUAGCGGGGGAUAACUAUUGGAAACGAUAGCUAAUACCGCAUAACAAUGGAUGACCCAUGUCAUUUAUUUGAAAGGGGCAAAUGCUCCACUACAAGAUGGACCUGCGUUGUAUUAGCUAGUAGGUGAGGUAACGGCUCACCUAGGCGACGAUACAUAGCCGACCUGAGAGGGUGAUCGGCCACACUGGGACUGAGACACGGCCCAGACUCCUACGGGAGGCAGCAGUAGGGAAUCUUCGGCAAUGGGGGCAACCCUGACCGAGCAACGCCGCGUGAGUGAAGAAGGUUGUCGGAUCGUAAAGCUCGGUUGUAAGUCAAGAACGAGUGUGAGAGUGGAAAGUUCACAAUGUGACGGUAGCUUACCAGAAAGGGACGGCUAACUACGUG